GUGGGGAAUCUUAGACAAUGGGGGAAACCCUGAUCUAGCCAUGCCGCGUGAGCGAUGAAGGCCUUAGGGUUGUAAAGCUCUUUCAGCUGGGAAGAUAAUGACGGUACCAGCAGAAGAAGCCCCGGCUAACUCCGUGCCAGCAGCCGCGGUAAUACGGAGGGGGCUAGCGUUGUUCGGAAUUACUGGGCGUAAAGCGCGCGUAGGCGGACCAGAAAGUUGGAGGUGAAAUCCCAGGGCUCAACCUUGGAACUGCCUUCAAAACUGCUGGUCUGGAGUUCGAGAGAGGUGAGUGGAAUUCCGAGUGUAGAGGUGAAAUUCGUAGAUAUUCGGAGGAACACCAGUGGCGAAGGCGGCUCACUGGCUCGAUACUGACGCUGAGGUGCGAAAGCGUGGGGAGCAAACAGGAUUAGAUACCCGAGUAGUCC
rnacentral:rRNA from 1 species